CAAACCAUCGAGAGAGCGAGAGAGAAAGAGAGAGAAAGAUUAUUUCAGUCAAAAGUUGCCUUCGAAUAGUCCGACACAUGAAGGUAUUUUCCUAAACAACCUGCAGGAGAUGUUAUUACACACCAUUGGAGCAGAUGGGACUUAAACCCAGGACUCCAGACUCAGAGAUAACAAGAGCACUUCAAGCUGCCCCUACCUCUUCAACCUAAAUUUUGGUACCUGGGGACAGGCGUCACGGUCCAGUUGAAAGUACUGCGGAUGCUGGGCAUCUGAAAUAAGAUCAGAAAGUGCUGGGAGGAA